rnacentral:misc_RNA from 1 species
AACUUUUGGCAAUGGAUCUCUUGGCUCUCGCAUCGAUGAAGAACGCAGCGAAAUGCGAUACGUAACGUGAAUUGCAGAAUUCAGUGAAUCAUCGAAUCUUUGAACGCACCUUGCGCCCCUUGGAAUUCCGAGGGGCACACCCGUUUGAGUGUCGUGAACAUCCUUCAACCUUUCUUGGUUUCUUAACCGGGGAAGGCUUGGACUUUGGGGGUCUUUCAUUGCUGGCCUCUUUGAAGCCAGCUCCUCCUAAAUGGAUUAGUGUGGUCUGCUUUGCCGAUCCUUGGCGUGAUAAGAUGUUUCUACGUCUUGGGUUUCGCACUGUCGCUUUAGACCCCGCUUCUAACCGUCUUGCAUUCAAGACAGAGUUUUAAACCUUGACCUCAAAUCGGGUGAGACUACCCGCUGAACUUAAGCAUAUCAAUAAGCGGAGGCU